AGUUCAGUUAUUGGUGUUGUAUAUUUUGUAGUACUGAAGUCCACAGGUUACUUAUAAGUGAGAUGUCUGGCAGUGCCACGUUUGUUAAGAAACACACAAUUAAUGUUAAAGGACAAUUUGUUGUUGUCAACAAGUGAAGUUACAUGAUAAAAUUUCUGUGAAUAA